rnacentral:rRNA from 1 species
GAUGAACGCUAGCGGCAGGCCUAAUACAUGCAAGUCGAGGGGUAUGGGUUGCUUGCAACCCAGAGACCGGCGCACGGGUGCGUAACGCGUAUGCAAUCUACCUUAAUCAGGGGGAUAGCCCGGAGAAAUCCGGAUUAACACCGCAUAACAUUGAGUUGUGGCAUCACAGUUCAAUCAAAUAUUUAUAGGAUUAAGAUGAGCAUGCGUGACAUUAGUUAGUUGGUGAGGUAACGGCUCACCAAGACCAAGAUGUCUAGGGGAUCUGAGAGGAUGACCCCCCACACUGGUACUGAGACACGGACCAGACUCCUACGGGAGGCAGCAGUAAGGAAUAUGGGGCAAGGGGCGCAAGCCUGAACCAGCCAGGCCGCGGGCAGGAAGACGGCCCUAUGGGGUGUAAACUGCUUUUGUACCGGAAUAAACCUUCUCGUGCGAGAGAAGCGGAACGGACGGUAAGAAUAAGGAUCGGCUAACUCCGG